CCCUUAGAUGUUCUGGGCCGCACGCGCGCUACAAUGGUCUUCGCAAACGGAUGCAUUCUCGAAGGAGAAUGCCAAUCUUGGAAUCUAUGCCUUGGUCGGGACAGUUGCUUGCAAUUUUUCGACUCGAACCAGGAAUUCCUUGUAAUCGUGAUUCAUCACAUCACGAUGAAUACGUUCCUGCCCUUUGUACACACCGCCCGUCGCUCCUACCGAUCGAAGAGUUAGGUGAAUUGUUUUGAUCGAUAAGAUUUGACUAUGGUCAACUCUCGUUGUGAAAUUCUGUGAAUCUGACUGUUUAGAGGAAGGAAAAGUCGUAACA
rnacentral:rRNA from 1 species